GCGGGGGAUAACUCCAAAUUCCCGGAAUAGGUGUAGAUUCGGUGUAAUUUUUUUAGAUGUAGUCCUAAAAUCCCGUAGGCAUCGCUAUUUUAUUACAGUCUUCCAAACUGUUGAUGGGGGUUCGAUUCCCCCUGCCCGCU
rnacentral:tRNA from 1 species